rnacentral:snRNA from 1 species
AUCGCUUCUCGGCCUUUUGGCUAAGAUCAAGUGUAGUAUCUGUUCUUAUCAGUUUAAUAUCUGAUACGUCCUCUAUUUGAGGACUAUAUAUUAAAUGGAUUUUUGGAACUGGGAGAUGGAAGAGGGGCUUGCUCCGUCCACUCCACGCAUCGGCCUGGUAUUGCAGUACCUCCAGGAACGGUGCACCUUCC